UAGUGUAGGUUUGGUGGGCAUCGUCAACACUUUUUAAAAGUGUAUAAGCCCACUUAUAUACGAUUUCCCGUGUACCCAUCCACAAGUGUACAACACACUUGUAAAACCCUUUGUUUCUCCUCGCGCUCUUGCCUUCGAGCAAUUUCUCUUCAAUUUGAAAUUUGGCAACAUUUCAGUCUGUGAGUCUGUUGUUGACUUGUUGUGACGCUAUCCAUCCUCCAACAGGGAAUGAAUUUUUUCAAGUUUUUUUCUGUAAAUACAUUUUCUUUUUUUUUUAAUUUGUGGAAUCAACUCGCCAUUUACGGCUCUGGAAUUGAAUCCCCUAUCAAGAUUCCAACUAAUAUCCUUACUAUAUAGUGGAUUCAUCAAAUCUGAAUGCCAACUCCAUUUAACUUCUUUAAAGCAACAAGUCAUCAUGCCAAUAUUGAAAAUGUUUUCAAUUUAUAAGUUGCUGCAGUUAAGUUGCUGCCCCAACUGUGGCCCGUUUCUCAUGUCUACAUCACAGCUUCUUCAGCAAUUAGUCUUCAUGGUGACA